CUCUGGCUUAAUAGAAGAAAGGGGAUUCUCAUAUCUGCUUCUGCCUCUAAUGUCUUGACACGUUAUUUUGGUCAAAUUACAUGAAGAAAAUCCAGCCUCACACAAAUUUGUAGUUGGAAAAGGGAGGAAUAUUUUAAUAGCCUUCCAGAUAGCUGAAGACAUUCAUCUUUGACACGACAGCAAAGUUCAACAAGUGGUAGGUUCUUCAAAGUUGGUUGCAAUGUGGGAUCUGACAACCCUAUCGAUGAUUUCAUACUCUGUCACAUCGCUCUGUCUUAGACUCUCGGUACAUAUUUCAUGAUAGCUGGCAUUCGACGUUUUGAAAAUAUUGAUUCACUAAGUUAUGCAUAUUUUCCAAAUGUUAACACAUUUUGUUAUACAAUACGAAAAAGUAACACUUUUUAAUCUCCACCAGUCUCAUCAGAAAAGCCUAGACAUUGGAAAGCUGUCGAGCUCACAGGACAGAUACAAAUUUUACAAAAUUCAAAUUUCCUUUUGAAAGCUUGGUGAUCAUUGGUGAUAAAUAUUGUGGGUUGUUUUCUUAAAAGACAGGCUCACUUAGUUCAUUUUCGAGCAAAUGUCUGCCAAACACCCCAGUUGGAAUAACCAUGGUUAUUUGGCAGCUCAUUCAGCUUGCAACUCAAGCAGAUGAGUGCUCGCCCUCAAAACCAUCACCCUCUGGUGUGCAGCAGAAAUGCUUUCUGUGUACUUCCCAUUUUGUCACAGGGAACAUUAAAAAGAUGUCUACUGAAGGGUCAAGAUUUAAUAAAAUUAUAACCUUUAUGCUUCAUCAAGGACAUUCUUAGGAGAAACUGGACUCUGCUUCUGUCCGUCUUGCUGUCUACUGCGAGUGUGUGAAGAACGCCAGCAGUGCUGGUAGUGUUGUGCCAGGCAGGACUCGUGCUCAGGUGCCAACCGCUGAGCCCACGAGGCCUGUGCACCAUUAGUGCAAUGCUCAGCCAGCGACAAAGGCGAAGGGCGUUCACCUGGGCACCCUCACACUUGAAGAACACAGCUCUCAUCUUUAUUGCUCAAGGUACUUUAGGUGGCAGAUGACAGAAAUCCAACAAGUUGCUUAAGCAAACAAAACAAAACAAAACGAUAUAUGUGCUCACAUAGCUGGGCAGGCUUGAGCGGAUCUCGCCUCCAGCAUGACUGGAUUCAGGGCUCAAAGAAUGUUAACGCCUCUCUCUCCCUCUUUCUCUCUCCACAUCUCAACUCUCUUUUCUCUGUACUUUGGCUUAAUUCUCAUCUCCUAUAAUGGGCGCUCUGCGUAUGUCAGGAAACACAGCCACCAGCAGCUCUAAAACUACACCUGCUUGUAAUUCCAGGAAGAGAGGUCUUUUACGUAGUGUCUGGCCAUCCAGUCUCAUGGAAGAUUCCAGGUAGAGAGGUCUUUUACGUAGUGUCUGGCCAUCCAGUCUCAUGGAAGAUUCCAGGAAGAGAGGUCUUUUACGUAGUGUCUGGCCAUCCAGUCUCAUGGAAGAUUCCAGGUAGAGAGGUCUUUUACGUAGUGUCUGGCCAUCCGGUCUCAUGGAAGAUUCCAGGAAGAGAGGUCUUUUACGUAGUGUCUGGCCAUCCGGUCUCAUGGAAGAUUCCAGGUAGCCCAGCUAGAGCCAGGUAUCCAUCCCCUGCACCUCUGCGGGAGCCAGAGGUCCGGCUGGGUGGCCACGUGGGCGGCCAGCGGGGAGGUGCUGAGCCUGGCGGCCCCAUCAGAGCCUCAUGAUUGGCACAGGGAGAGGGCUGUGGCCCCAGGAGAGAGGGAAAGCGCCGGGCAGACAACAUAGCAGAUAUCCAUGACAAAUACUGCACUGCCAAGGUUCUCCUCUGCUUUGAGUGUUUCUAAUCAAGAGAGAAUAGAGAUCAGUGAACUGCUCUCAACUCCAUGUUCUCUUGUGUCUCAGCCCCACCACCUCACUGCUAAACCCCGUGCUGCAACGCCAGAGCAGACCCAAUUCCACGGAGGAGCCUGUGUCUGAAGCUCUUUUCUGUUAGGGUCAAAAGUGAGCUAAUGUCUUCUAAAUGGAACAACCUGGAGGGCUUUCUGGAAAAUACAGAAGGUGUUCAGGGAGAAUGGGCGUCAUAAAUAACGGAAGACAUGGCCCUUGCUAGAAGCUACAUAGGAAUACCUGGUUAAAAAGUACGUUUCAGGAGCAUUUUAAAAGAAAGAGCCAAAAUAAAAGGUGGCUGCGUGGGGCUGGCCCCGUGGCCGAGUGGUUAAGUUCGCGCGCUCCGCUGCAGGCGGCCCAGUGUUUCCUUGGUUCGAAUCCUGGGCGUGGACAUGGCACUGUUCGUCAGACCACGCUGAGGCAGCGUCCCACAUGCCACAACUAGAAGGAGCCACAACGAA
rnacentral:lncRNA from 1 species